rnacentral:rRNA from 1 species
AUUGAACGCUGGCGGCAUGCCUUACACAUGCAAGUCGAACGGUAACGGGCCUUCGGGUGCCGACGAGUGGCGAACGGGUGAGUAAUACAUCGGAACGUGCCCGAUCGUGGGGGAUAACGAGGCGAAAGCUUUGCUAAUACCGCAUACGAUCUACGGAUGAAAGCAGGGGACCGCAAGGCCUUGCGCGGACGGAGCGGCCGAUGGCAGAUUAGGUAGUUGGUGGGAUAAAAGCUUACCAAGCCGACGAUCUGUAGCUGGUCUGAGAGGAUGAUCAGCCACACUGGGACUGAGACACGGCCCAGACUCCUACGGGAGGCAGCAGUGGGGAAUUUUGGACAAUGGGCGCAAGCCUGAUCCAGCCAUGCCGCGUGCAGGAUGAAGGCCUUCGGGUUGUAAACCGCUUUUGUACGGAACGAAAAGCCUUCUUUUAAUACAGGAGGGUCAUGACGGUACCGUAAGAAUAAGCACCGGCUAACUACGUG